ACCAGGUGAGGACAUGUCUUGUAAAGUUGGAUGCAGACUUUGCGAAGGGUGUGGCCUAUUCAUUAGCCUUCUCUAAAAAAUAUCUUCUUCAAUCAGCUGCUGCUUUAUUCUUUGCCACAGUUCCUUAUUAGUGAUCUUGUCUGCCUAGCAGAUCAUAAGAAUAUGGUAUGAUGAAUACCUUUUUUUUCUUGGUGGUUCUCCAGGUCUCUACUCCAAUACUAACUGUGCAGAGACUUUACAAAUAUCUCCUAUGAAAAGAUUGCUAAAAUAAUACUCCAAUAGCAUGUAAUACUUAGUUUGUUUAAUGUUGCGAUGUAAGAAAAUAUAACUAGCUAUCCAGGUUGUUAAAACAAAAUAUUGUGCAUAAAAUAUUUCCAUUUUAACUUAUUUAUACAUUUUUUGUUAAGAUUUCAACAAAAUUCAAUGAAAUCAAUAAAAAUGUAUGUGAUGCAAUCAAUAAUAAC